AACGAACGCUGGCGGCAGGCCUAACACAUGCGAGUCGAGCGCGCCCUUCGGGGUGAGCGGCGGACGGGUGAGUAACGCGUGGGAACGUGCCCUCCUCUGCGGAAUAGCCUCGGGAAACUGAGAGUAAUACCGCAUACGCCCUUUGGGGGAAAGAUUUAUCGGAGAAGGAUCGGCCCGCGUUGGAUUAGGUAGUUGGUGGGGUAAUGGCCCACCAAGCCGACGAUCCAUAGCUGGUUUGAGAGGAUGAUCAGCCACACUGGGACUGAGACACGGCCCAGACUCCUACGGGAGGCAGCAGUGGGGAAUCUUAGACAAUGGGGGCAACCCUGAUCUAGCCAUGCCGCGUGAGUGAUGAAGGCCUUAGGGUUGUAAAGCUCUUUCAGCUGGGAAGAUAAUGACGGUACCAGCAGAAGAAGCCCCGGCUAACUCCGU
rnacentral:rRNA from 1 species